AGCUUUGCGCCAUGGCAGUAUCGUAGCCAAUGAGGUUUAUCCGAGGCACGAUUAUUGCUAAUUAAAAAUCUCAGGAGCCUUUUACAUCAUCAUUUCUUCUACCAGUACAUUUUUCAGUCAUUAGUAGGAUUAAUAUUUGACUUCUACUCACUGCCUACUUCCCACCCAGGCCAUGCCUUCAGCUUGGACUUUGAAG
rnacentral:snRNA from 1 species